GGAAAGAUGGCUCAGUGGUUAAGACCACUGACUAUUCUUCCAGAGGUCCUGAGUUCAAUUCCCAGCACCCCCA
rnacentral:tRNA from 1 species